rnacentral:rRNA from 1 species
AUGGAGGCAACUCUGAACCAGCCAUGCCGCGUGCAUGAUGACUGGUCCUAUGGAUUGUAUAACUGCUUAUUGUACAGGAAGAAACCUCCCUACGAGUACCGGACUUGACGGUACUGUAAGUAAUAAUGGAUCGGCUAACUCCGUGCCAGCAGCCGCGGUAAUACGUGAUGGAUCCGAGCGUUGAUCCGGAAUUAUUGGGUUCUAAAGGGUUCGUAAUGCGGCGUGUGAUAAGUCAGUGGUGAAAUCUUCCUAGCUUAACUAGGACACUGCCAUUGAUACUGCAGNAACUUGAAUAAUAUGGAAGUAACUAGAAUAUGUAGUGUAGCGGUGAAAUGCUUAGAUAUUACAUGGAAUACCAAUUGCGAAGGCAGGUUACUACGUAUUUAUUGACGCUGAUGAACGAAAGCGUGGGGAGCGAACAGGAUUAGAUACCCUGGUAGUCCACGCCGUAAACGAUGGAUACUAGCUGUUCGGUUUUCGGACUGAGUGGCUAAGCGAAAGUGAUAAGUAUCCCACCUGGGGAGUACGUNCGCAAGAAUGAAACUCAAAGGAAUUGACGGGGGCCCGCACAAGCGGUGGAGCAUGUGGUUUAAUNCGAUGAUACGCGAGGAACCU